CCCUUAGAUGUCCUGGGCUGCACGCGCGCUACACUGAUGUGUCCAGUAAGCACCUAACCUCUUCCGAAAGGAACGGGUAACCUUUGCAAAGCACAUCGUGAUGGGGAUAGAUUAUUGCAAUUAUUAGUCUUGAACGAGGAAUUCCUAGUAAGCACAAGUCAUCAGCUUGUGUUGAUUACGUCCCUGCCCUUUGUACACACCGCCCGUCGCUCCUACCGAUUGAAUGUUCCGGUGAGCUCUUCGUACUGCGCGGUCUGCAGUUUCUGCGUUCCGUGCGGAAAGUUGCGCAAACCUUAACAUUUAGAGGAAGGAGAAGUCGUAACA
rnacentral:rRNA from 1 species